GGAGACACUGCACCCGCUGCCUCAGCCCCCCCUGCCACAAUAUAGACACUAUUGGCUGCUAAUUGGCGCCAGUGGGCUGGUGCUAAUUGUGCUCCUGUCUUGGGCUGAGGACAGGCAUGUGAAGGAUGGAGGGGUCUGCUGGGAAUAGGAGGAGGGGAGAGCCAGGGAGACAGUGGUCAUACAAGUUGGAACAGGGCUUUAAUUUCAUAUCAAAUAUUUAAGUAAGUGAGUGGAGGAUCUGUGAACUCUCUUUGUGGUAACCCACAAAAGGCCUUGGGGAAUAGCACCCCCCUGCCUCCAGCCCGGCCAUGAGCUGUCUGAAGGCCUCUGUUGCUCUUCCUUCUUAGCUUUGUUUAAUUAAUUGGGAGAAUUGCUAAUGAUCCUUUUUUCCUCUUCAUACCUUCUCUGUUUUCUGCCAUUGCAUCUUCUUCAUUCUUUAUUUCAAAGAUUCAGCUUUUCCGAAGUCAGGGCCAUCCAAUAUUUACACAUGGAAAUUUUGGCUGAACAGAAUGACAGCUAAGGAAGAGAUCAGGCUCAUUACCCUGAAAUUGGAGACAGUCUGCUUUGUACAUGCAAGGCCAGAAUGAGCAGUGGGGACUCUGUGGUAUUGUUUCUUUGAAAUAUCCAGUCAGACUUAUGGAGGUGGAACUUUACCUGCAUCAAAUGUCAGUAAGAAGUAUGUUCAGAAAUAAUCAUUUGGGCUAUGACCACCAGUUCAUAUGUGAAUUGUACCUGCAUGCUGUCUCACUUCUAAGAUUUUAGUCUCAAAAAUGGGCAGGUAAAGUCUAAUUAAUCUGUGCUGUGCUGGAAGCAGAGCCCUGCAAGGAGUGACCUGGCUGUGAUGGUGUGCUGGUUUGGUACAUGGGACAAUGCUCUUCACUGUACCCAAUGUGAAAUGACUUUCAUGAUGCUAAGGUGCACCAGCCUUUGAUAUAUCCUGGGAACAAGCUGGCAAUGUCAAGAACUCUGCUGAGACUUCUGGCUGCCACCAUUUUUUUACAAAGUCCAGAUAUAAAUACCUGGGGAUGUCUUCCAGUUUCAUGCUUCUGUUCCUGUGGUAGCAAAGUUCAACCUCUCCUUGUUCUUGUUGUGCUCUGACCAUAAGGACCUCUUUCAAAAUGAGCAUUAAAUGUCAUUUGGAGGACAGCUUAGGGCUGCAGACUGCUGGUGUGCAGAAUUCAACUCAGGGCCAUCUGGAGACCCUCUGCUGCAGCAUCAUUAAUCCCAUGCAAGGCAGGUUGGCCAUGCUCAUUUCACAUCUACAGAUGUGCACAAAUCUAAUUAUCCAUCUCCUGUGCAAGUCUUACAGAAAAAUUGUAGCUGAGUCCUUGGAAUUUAGUGAAAAUACUUAGGAGUUUCACAGACUUUGAAGGGGUUUUUUGACUCAGUUUAGGAUUCAAGGCUAUUUGUUGGGAAGUCUGGAGGCCUUCUUACAACUUUCCUUUUAGAUCUCCUCUCGUGAGCAAGUCAGCAGUUUUCUUCCUGUAUGAUGACUGUGGGGUCUGUGGGCAGUGUGAAGUCGGUGAGCAAUGCUGGGAUCAGGUGUCCAUGUGGGAUCAGUCACACUGUGAUGCCAGCUUAACUUUAGAGUGUUGGGUUAUGUCCUCUAUAGCGGACUUUUCCCUGUUUCUUGAACCCAAAGUCUGCUUUGGGGAGAUACACCAGGUUAUUCUUUUCCUUAGUCUUGCAUCCAAACCUUUUGGGCAGCACAUGCACAGGUUGGUGUGUGCACCACAGAAAUCUCUGCCCUGGUUCUAUCCCUAGGCACUGUAUCCAGAGUCCUUUCCCAGUGACAAAGCAAUCCAGUUCUGUCUUGUAAAUGUUUUAGCAAACCACAUCCUUUCUGUAAGAGAAAAAUGAUCUUUCUUCAUUUGUAGUAUCUUUCCUAAAAUGUGCUGUACAAUCAUGUCUCUAAAAUAUAUGAGGCGAUAGAGCAACUAUAUUGAAAAAUAGCACAUACUUGGCCAGUUUUGCUAAUAAGUAAAAUAUACUGGUCUGAAUAUGACAACUGUAUGUGUUGAAAUAUAUUGAAAACAUAUUUGGAUCAUUCCACAUAGACUGAAAUAUUGAAAACUGGCCAAAUCUGUAAAAAAUUUAAGUCAGUAUUUUAUAUAUUAUAUAUUUAAAAAUCAUUUUCACAAAUAGAUAGCAAGGAACCUUGCUACGAAGAUGUGGGAAAUCCUAAUCAGGCUUUAUUUUUUCCUGAUGGGAACCAGUGAUCAUGGAUGCUAUGUCAUUACAGACACUGUGGUAAGAGUUAACCUGGCUGCUGGCUCAUAAUUUGUGUGUUGGGCCCAGCACAGGGGUCCAUUGAUCUUAAUAGAGACCACUCAAGAGCAGGGAAUUCCAACAGUAACAGCUCCCUCGGCAUUGCUGGUGCUGAUUUAAGUCCGAGCAUUUCUUCCUCUGCAGUCUCUUUGGAUUAGCCUGGGAAUGGACGGGAGAGUGGGAGUGAGAGCAGUUGUGACAGCUCUUAGAUGGAGGAGCUUGCAAUUUCUGGAGAAAUGAGAAAUUUCUGGAGGCUGAGGAUUCAAACAGUGAUAUGAGCCCAUAGACAAUGCAAUUGUCCUGGCCUUUGCAUAAAAACAAGGAUCUCCAUUUAUUGUUAGCUCCUAUUGACAUUCCUAAGCAUUCUCUAGGUAAGUCCAGAGAUGUCUGGAUACCCUGGAUCCUCUGAGAAGUGCCCUUUUGCAGCAUAACAUAGAGUUACUGUUUGAGUUUUUCUGUGUGUAUUGUUAUACCUCUGAAAGGUGUAGGGCAGGAGACCCUGGAUCCAUGGAGGAUCCAGGGCUUUCUCUCCCUGCACAUUGUAGCAGCAGUGAGAUCCCCAGUGGAGAUGGAAGCCUUUGGAUGUGCUUCUGGUUGGGGUUGGGAUGGUCUGCUUUGCUGAUGGACCUGUUACUGUCCAGGGAAUGCAUUUCUGUGAUGGUAAUUGAAGGCAAAUUAACGACCUCACUAAGUUAGAGAUGGUAAAAAGACCAUUUGAAGACAUGUGAGGAGAACUGGUUCUGUCUGAGAGUUGGUUGGUAGAACCAGCAAGGGCUUGGCUUCCUCAUCCAAGGUUAGACCAGGUCAGCAGCUGAGGGAGAUCUCACCCGGAGAGCAGCUUUUAAAGGAAGACCACUGUCCCCUGAGAUGACCUUCCUGCCUGAUUUGGAGGUGAACAGAGUUUUCUUUGAUUCUUAAAAUUGUCCAAUUCCUCUGUUAGGAAAAAGCAUUUAAUCCAAUUUGGAGUCCUAAAUCUGGCUCACUGCGUGAAUGAAUCAUGGAUGUCUCAAGCAGGAAUCAUGAAUCCUAUGAUCCUGUUGACCAGGUGAAUGUACUUCUGCCAACUACACCACAUAAAGUUUGUGCAAACAUUUAUUUGCAUGCAGAAAGCUGGAGAGAGAUCAGUUCCAGACAGAAGUGAAACUGAAAGUCAGGUAUAUCAGGGGUCCUGUAAUGAGGUGACUGAGGAGGCUUAGGAAUGUCAAAAUGGGAAUCAUGGCUGUUUUACACUUCCGAGAUCCCUUGUGCCCUGGAGAUGAGCUGCUCCGAGUAGUGCCUUUGUGUUCUGAACAGCAUCAGCUUGCUGAGAGCUGGAACACCUCAACAUCCCUAAUGAAAACAAGGAGCAAACCAGAAUUCUCCUGAAAAAUAAACAAGCCCACUUCCAUGACCCCUUCUUGACCUCCCAAUGAGGUGCUAAUUACUAAAGGAUUAGCACCUCUUCUGUAUCACAAUGCACUCAGCCAAGGAACAGGAGGUGACAACACUCAGCACAAAAUGCAAAUCCAGAAGAAUUAGUCCAAGGGCAAGAGACCAAAGUUAAAGACAGAGAAACCUUCUCCACUGCAAGUUCAACCUGUUGUCAGAGAAACGAGCUAAAUUACCACCUUUUGGAGGAGUUAGGCAGGAAUGGAAUAUUUUUUCCCUCUUCAUGGUAGGUAAAUAUGCAGCUUUUCUUAAUUUGGCUUCACAGUUCAACAGAGAUAAUUUUUUUCAGUGUGGCUGCAGUGACAGCAAUAUGAAAAAGGGCUUAUUAAAAAUUAAUUGCACCAGCAGAAGUAUCUCCAUGUAUCUGUGUCUGUGUUGAAACGCCAUCCCUGUUGCACCAUAUCCAGUGGCUCACUGAUAAACUGGAAUGAAAACUGUAGGAAUUAGUGGUUGCAAAGGAAGCCCUGCAGAGAUGUGUGUGAUCUGUCCUGUCAGGCUGUGUGAGAUGAUCUCACAAGCUUCAAUGCCUGUAUUUGUCACAUCAAAUGGAUAAAGUCUUUCUGUGGUGGCUACUGUGGUCUUUAUGUGGAGAUUUUCACCUCUUUGAUCCAGUAUGAGAUGGGAAAUAAAUCCAAAUGGGAAAUAAAUUGCUUUUGUAUAAGGCAUAUUGGCAUAAGGCUUUGUAUUGUUUUUAUUUUUGGUAGGAAGUAUUUAUUGUAAAAGGGAGUGACUUAAACUGUUUCUAAAGAUCAAAGGGAACUUGGCCCAAGGGAAAGAAUUUCUGAGGUGUGGAACAGCCCAGUCUGGCCACCUUGGCCACCUGGAAGGUUUGAAAUCAAAGCCUUUGCUACCAGGUACUGGAUGAGACUGGAACAGACAAGCACAACCCUCCUUGGGAGCAAACUGGCACAACUGUCUCCUAAAAUAGGUGACAGUCCAGAACUUUCCUGAGGGAGAGAAUACAAGCUGUAAACCAGAGUCUUCUGGAGCUCAAGAACCUCUCCUGUGCAGCAGCUUUACAGCUAUUCCGAGUUUGGGUAUUUUUUUUCCUGAGUGGAAGUUCGCUCGUGAGCCUGAGAAUGCUGCUCUCAUUACAUUUUUUUCCGAUGAUGCUUCAUUCUUGGAAAGGGGAAAGUUUCUGGUUUGGAUAAUUGAAUUUUCCAAUAGAAGAUCUCAUCACUAAAUUCCUGACCAGCUCCCCACUGACCGGCUGUUUUGCCUCUACCCACUUUUUCAGUUUUCUUAGAUGUGAACAUGAGCUGCUUAUACAGCAGCCCAGAGAGCUCCCUUUGGAUGAAAUACAUCCUACUCAGUAGUUAAACUAUUUCAAGCUGUAGUUUUUAGUCCUGGCCUUCUUCAUGGCAGGUUCUUUUGCUUUUCUCAUCUCUGGAUGUAAAUCUUGGUGUCUCAGUUGACUCUGGCACUGCUGCCUGUGCUCCCCAUGGCAGAGGAGAUGGGAUUGUGCCUCCUGGCUGAAGGGGCUGUGGCAGACAUGCUGCCUCAUGUCGUUUCCUGUUUGCAGACUUACCUCAGGUAUUUUCAGAUGGGCCAAGAGACUCCUGCCUACAUUGUUCUUCUGCAAAGGAUAUGUGUGGUAUGGGGCUCAGGUGACACAAUCAGGAUCUCCUCAGUGUACUGUUUGACUGGGGCCUUGGAAAAAUAACCAGAUUACUAUCUCCAACUUAUCCUAAACAUGCCUGCCUCCUUUUACAGUUUUUGUUGCACAGUAUUGUUGCCAGGAUGGAUUUAUGCUGGGCCAUUUCCCACUCCAGCUGCGUCAUUACAAUCAUUGUCAUGAGAACACAAAAGCAGCGACUGAAUGCCCUGUGCCUUCCUAAGAACAUAUUUAUCCCAUUGCACUGUUGUGACUUGUGGGGGUGCCAUGGGCUGGCGGCUACUAAAGCAAAGACUUCCUGAUGCUUGAUAUCCAGGGAUCCUCAAAGGCCAGAAUGACUCUUUGCUGUCUCAAGCAGCCUGGCUUGAGUAUGUAAAGCGGAGUUGCCAAGUGAAGAACGAUUCCUGGAGGACAGCAGUGCAGCCAUGUGCCCAUCUGGCCCUAAGGAAGGGUUUGGGGCGGUUUUGGUGCCCGCACCCUCGGCCACGCACAGACCUUCUCUCUCCACCAGACGGCGCUGUUGGACAGGGCACGGCCCGGGGGUGCCACCACGCACCGGGUGACAUCACCAGAGUCCCCUCCCAGUGCCUCAGUUUCCCCAUUUCCCAGUGUUCUGAGACAUGGUGACCAAUGUGACACAGAGCAAC
rnacentral:lncRNA from 1 species